UUCGCUGAAGUCUUGAAUAGCAAUUUUCAAUAGCUUCAAUUUGAUAUAUAGCCCGACGUUUGGGGUCAAGUAUUUCUGCUCAUAACUCAGAAAAACUAUUUUGGCUUCAUCAAAUCAUAGGCCUUCAUCAUAGCAGUUAGCCUUCCAGUUUAUUUAUAGUUCAAUGCAUGUGCCCUCAGGAUAUCGGAUACAGAGAGUGCCAAGCAGACUCUCACUUGCAGUGUGACCAGACGUGGUAAUUUCAUUACUACCGUGGUAAUUUUUCGUCAUUUUUGGACAAUUGUGGUAAUUGGAAAUUUGUG